GUAGCUUUGAGAAGCUGCUUUGGGAAAACACAGAGGAGCAACAGUGCAUAGUUUAAUGAAAUUGACUUCCUGCCAAUUCUGUCAAUUACAUCGAAACAACAGAACCCUAUCUUUCCUCCAUCUCUUUGCCGUCAUUAUCAUUAUCAUCCCACAUCUCCUCCUUCCUCUUCUUCAAUUCGUGGAUUCUCGCCGGCCUCGCCUCCUUCAAUUCGUGGGUUCCAUCUCUUUGCCAUCAUUAUCAUUAUUAUUCCACAGCUCCUCCUUCCUCUUCUUCAAUUCGUGGAUUCUCGCUACAAUUUGGGUCUUCUGGGUUAUGCUUCUUCUCUGAAGAUAAUCUAUCAAACGAAACCCAAUUCCUCUGAUUCCUCCAUAGCUGCACAAAAAGGAGUAAGGAGAAUUCUUGUACAUCUCAACAUUGCAUAAUUCGAUCCUCAUCAAACUUCUCCUCCUUAUCUCUCUGCUGUCACUAAACGAAAUUUGGAGACCAACUUCACUGGUUUAGUUCCAUCAAGACUCAUUGAGAGAAGGAACAGCAGCUCACUACUGUUAAGUUUGUGUAAAAAUCCAUAUCUAUCCAUACCAGUUUCUUGCAAGAAGAAGAAGAAGAAGAAGCACAAUGUUGUCCUAGUGGUAGUGCCAAUUCUUGUAAUUGUCAUCCUUUUAUUGACUAUAGGAGCUGUCUUAUUGGGCCUUAAAGUGAAAAGAAAACCUGAGAUCGAGAAUUCUAUUUAGAGCUGGUCAUUGGAGUCAAAGGAUCAACGCUUUACAUACUCAGAGCUUGUGAAGAUUAUUAAUAAUUUUGCAUCAAUCAUAGGAAGAGAUGGAUUCGGCAGUUACCAUAGUUGUCGUGGAUGCAGCAUGAGGGUUGGAUUAUCUACAUAAUGGUUGCAAGCCACCUAUAGUCCAUAGAGAUCUGAAGGCUUCCAAUAUCUUGUUAAAUGAAAAGUUGCAAGCCAAGAUAGCUUAUUUUGGUCUUUCUAAAGUUCUUGCAACUGAAAGUGCCACUCAUAUAUCAACUGAUGCCAAAGGAACAUUCGGGUACCUUGAUGCUGAAUAUUGCAAUAUAGGACAGCUCAACAGAAAGAGUGAUGUAUAUAGCUUUGGGAUUGUGUUGCUAGAGCUAAUAACCGGUAGAGCAGCCAUAAUAAGAGAUGUAGAACCUUUUCCUAUUCACAUAUGUCAAUGGGUGACUCCUAUAUAUGAGAACAUGGAAAUUGAAAAGAUAGUUGAUUCAAGAAUACAGGGUACCUACAACAAUUUUUCUGCUCAGAAAGCUAUAGAAAUUGCCAUGGCAUGUGUGCGUUCAUCAGCAAUCCAAAGGCCAGAAAUAAGCUCUGUAUAUGUUGAAUUGAAGGGAUGUUUGGAAAUUGAGAUGACUUCUGAUCAAGUAACAACAGUUACAGAGAUCGAUGAGAGCGAUGAUGAUACAAAUUCGAGUAGUUCAGUUCUUGUCACCUGACACGUCGAGUCUCAAACAUUUAGUAAUGCUUAAUUUCUACAUAAUGCAUGCUCUGAUGCUAAAUUAAGUCCGUAGAUUUUCUGAUUUUAUUUUUGUAAACUAGGAUCAUUCUCUAUUUAUUUGUAUUAAUCUUUCGCAGGUGCCAUACUAAGCUUUAAUAUACCACUUCAAUUUAAUCAGAUGUCGUCACUGUUAGAGGAUAAGUUCGUGGAUAUGUAUAUUUGUACUUUGUUGUAGAAUAAGAGAAUUUGAGAGAUGAAGCUUAUAGUCAAACAUCUCUUUUGUGCAU